rnacentral:misc_RNA from 1 species
AACGCAAAUUGCGCUCUUUGGUAUUCCGAAGAGCAUGCCUGUUUGAGUGUCAUAUAGACUCAUCUACUCAGUUUAUUCUGAACUAGGUGCUUUGGACGUCUGCCAUCUUCUGGCUCGUCUUAAAUGUCUAAGUGGAAUGCGUAAUAAGUUUUCGCUCCCUCCACUCUAAUGAAUUUUUAUCUCUGACCUCAAAUCAGGUAGGACUACCCGCUGAACUUAA